rnacentral:misc_RNA from 1 species
GAAAUGCGAUAAGUAGUGUGAAUUGCAGAAUUUAGCGAAUCAUCGAAUCUUUGAACGCACAUUGCGCCCCUUGGUAUUCCAUGGGGCAUGCCUGUUCGAGCAUCAUUUCAACCCUCAAGCACUGCUUGGUGUUGGGCGUUUGUCCCGCCUACGCGCGUGGACUCGCCUCAAAGUCAUUGGCAGCUGUUCCCCUUCGGCUCGUAAGCGCAGCACAGUCGGCGCCCGGAGCUCUGGUGGGAUGGCGUCCAGCAAGCUAUAUUUUCAGGCUUGACCUCGGAUCAGGUAGGGAUACCCGCUGAACUUAAGC